AUGGCCUGUACUCCUCUCCUCCUCGUGCUCCUCUCUCACUGUGCAGGUUCCCUCUCCCAGCCUGUGCUGACCCAGCCACCCUUCUUCUCUGCAUCUCCUGGAGCAUCAGCCAGACUCACCUGCACCCUGAGCAGUGACAUCAGUGUUGACAGCUCUCUCAUAUUCUGGUACCAGCAGAAGCCAGGGAGCCCUCCCCGGUAUCUCCUGAGUUUCUAGUCAGACUCAGUUAAGCACCAGGGCUCCGGGGCCCCCAGCCGCUUCUCUGGAUCCAAAGACACCUCGGCCAAUGCAGGGCUUCUGCUCAUCUCUGGGCUCAAGGCUGAGGACGAGGCUGACUAUUACUGUGCUACAGCUGAUAGCAGUGGGAGCAGCUCUGGUUACUCACAGUGUCUCAGACAACAAGGAAGUGAGACAACAACCCCCAGACCCAAAGACCUUGGCUCUGAGCCUCUUUUCAGUGAGAAGCUCCUGUGGAGGCCUCUGGACAGGAGACUCCUCCGCAUCCAGAUUUAUCCAUGA